rnacentral:rRNA from 1 species
AACGCUGGCGGCGUGCCUAAUACAUGCAAGUCGAACGGUCUUUCUAUGGAAGCUUGCUUCCACCGAGAAGAUAGUGGCGAACGGGUGAGUAACACGUGGGUAACCUGCCCAUAAGAGGGGGAUAACAUCCGGAAACGGGUGCUAAUACCGCAUAGUUUUCUUGAUCGCAUGAUCGGGAAAGGAAAGACGGCCUUUGUGCUGUCGCUUAUGGAUGGACCCGCGGCGUAUUAGUUAGUUGGUGAGGUAACGGCUCACCAAGACGAUGAUACGUAGCCGACCUGAGAGGGUGAUCGGCCACAUUGGGACUGAGACACGGCCCAAACUCCUACGGGAGGCAGCAGUAGGGAAUCUUCCGCAAUGGACGAAAGUCUGACGGAGCAACGCCGCGUGAGUGAAGAAAAGGUUUUCGGAUCGUAAAACUCUGUUGUCAGAGAAGAACAAGUUGGAGAGUAACUGCUCCAGCCUUGACGGUAUCUGACCAGAAAGCCACGGCUAACUACGUGCCAGCCGCCGC